GUCUAGUACUCAGAGUUUGAUCCUGGCUCAGAACGAACGCUGGCGGCAUGCCUAACACAUGCAAGUCGAACGAGACCUUCGGGUCUAGUGGCGCACGGGUGCGUAACGCGUGGGAACCUGCCUUUAGGUUCGGAAUAACUCCCCGAAAGGGGAGCUAAUACCGGAUAAUGUCUUCGGACCAAAGAUUUAUCGCCUUUAGAUGGGCCCGCGUUGGAUUAGCUAGUUGGUGAGGUAAAGGCUCACCAAGGCGACGAUCCAUAGCUGGUCUUAGAGGAUGAUCAGCCACACUGGGACUGAGACACGGCCCAG
rnacentral:rRNA from 1 species